rnacentral:lncRNA from 1 species
GUUUUGGGUCCUGGGGAAAUUUUAAAUUCUGACUUUCUGUCAUCCUACAAGGAAGAAAUGACUACCUUAUUAUACCACCAUCAAAGAGAUUAGAUUUAAGUGAGAGAGUCUCCUGGGGCACGAACACUCAUAUUAGGAGUGCACCGUACCUAUCUCUCUUUACUGAAGUUGAAAGAAAGCCACCUGGUCCUCAGAAAAGGGCACUGGAGCAUGGAGGGCAUGGUGAUUUGACUGGCAGAGAAAAAUGCCCAGAUUCAUAUGAUAUUUUAAACAUUUCCUGUUGA